UGAUCCUGGCUCAGGAUGAACGCUAGCUACAGGCUUAACACAUGCAAGUCGAGGGGAAACGACAUCGAAAGCUUGCUUUUGUAUGGGCGUCGACCGGCGCACGGGUGAGUAACGCGUAUCCAACCUGCCCAUCACUUGGGGAAUAACCUUGCGAAAGUAAGACUAAUGCCCAAUGAUAUCCCACGAAGGCAUCCGAAUGGGAUUAAAGAUUUUAUCGGUGAUGGAUGGGGAUGCGUCUGAUUAG
rnacentral:rRNA from 1 species